rnacentral:lncRNA from 1 species
GCCAUCCUCCUUGUAGAACAUGCAAUUUUUGGAGCAAUAGUCAGCUGUGCAAGACUGACUGUUGAGAUAACCCAAACAGGAUAUUUUCAUCUGUCAAACAGCUGUCAGCAAUUGUCUAAAUGGGUCUUGAACAGAAAUACAAAAAAUGUGCUGCUCUCCACCAUAUAGACACUUCUUGAAGGUCAGUUCCAAGCCUGACUCUAAAAUGAGUUGUACUGGGCACUGCUUGUUUACCUGGCUUGUUUUUCUUCAUGAGUUUUCUGGUGUAUUCCUUGCAGGGGGCUGCAAUAAUAAGGAGAACGAUAGAAAAAUAUAUCCCCAUCUCCAACAACUCCAUGUGAGUGUUGCAUCACCAUUGCAUUCCUUUGGCCAUGUCAGACCAUUAUUUGGCCACAGCAGAAACUCAGCUGAUGAAGGAAAUGCAGAAGAACCUGGAAACUAUUCAUCCAAAAUCUGUGAAGAAUCAUAUUAAGGAAGUUCAGUUCCUAUGAGCACUGGCAUUUCCUGGGCUGCUCAUACGCAGCAUUUGAAAACCCCAGGAAAGGGAAUAGCGCUGAAUAUCCGCCAGCAUGCUUCUACCACACCGCUACUGCUUCAGCAGCUGUCUCAAGAGAUUAUGGUCAUAACAAACUGAAGAUGCAUGACAGAAAGUGUCAGAACUAGAGCAAACCAAAGCUGGAGAAAGAACAGUCGUAGGGACAAGCAGGAACAGCAAAUGCAUGCACAGGUAUUUAAGAAGCAAGCUUCUUUUCAAACAAAGGGAGACAUAUUAUAAACAGAACUGACAUACACAGCACCCUGCUCACUCUAAUCGAGCCCCAAGAUCUAGCUUCUAGUUGCCAAAUUUUCUUUCUUAAAUGAAAAUGCUGUGAUAGUAAUAAUAAAACUUUCUGGCCUUAUGAUGUUUUUAACUUA